GUCUGUCUCUGAGGAUGCCCGGUCACAUGCUUUCUUUGGUGGUGACCAUCAUGAUGGGUUCCGUAGAGGUGGGAGCAGCAGCUAAAGACAAAAGCAUUUAUGAGAAGCGUUGACUUAAGAGAUGCCAAGUCACUCAGCAGAUGUCACACAGAUGACAACUAGCAAAGAUGGAAGGCUUCAUGCUGGAGGCAGUUCUAUAAGACAGCUGAGUUCUCCAGAGCUGGUAGGAGACAGACUUGCUCAGGUGAUAGAUCCGGCCAUGAUAUUGGCCAUAAGAGAAUCUGACACUGCAGAAGUCAUAGAAGAUUCCUGAAACUGGGAAAGAUGCCUAGAAAUCUGGAGAAGAGUGAAGAAGGGUACCUGGAGGCACAGCAGCCAUGUUGAACCUAUGAGGUGAUGAAAAGCCAUGCAACUAGAAGCCAGAAUGGAAGAAAAGAAGAGGCUGGAUCCCUGACUGAAUUGUCGAUGGGGAUAGUCCGUCAUCCCAGGGCUAAGACCACCUCCAUAUUUCUUGUUUGGUGAAACAAUUCCUAACUGGUUACAUUCCUUUAUGUUGAGCUGUCUCUUACUUGUAGCUGAAAGCGAUUCUAAUAGAUAUUCAGAUUAUCUGCACACUGAGGGGCAGCCUUAGCUCCAAGCUAGAAUACUCUAGGGGACUUUAGCUUCUCCAUGAAUUCCUUUGCUCAUCUGUGUAAUGCUCAAUAAAUGUAAAUUGAACCCUGAAUGAGGGACAAUGACACUAUUGAAGUCAUGAUUGUCAAUCUUAUUAACUCGCAAAAUACUUACAAAAAGGUUGGAACACUGCCCAACACACAGUAAGCUGCUGUGGAAAGAAAGGGUUUGCCAAAUGGAGUGAGAAGAAAACAGUCAUAGGCUUUCUUUUACAUCUUGAUCCAUCUUCAAGCCUCUGUGGUCUUUAAGCAGAACCUUGACCCCUUCACUACUGGGGCUCAUGGAUCAUGAAACACCCCCUAAACUCAGUCUCAAAACACCCACUCUAGCAGUUUCUUUUUGACAAAAAAGCCUUCUUAGAGAAUGCUGGCUUGUGAAAAAGAAGGGACUGUGACCACCAAAUCGUGUCAGUAUAUGACCAAAAUACCCAAAGCAAUUCAUGCAAAUAGGUUCAAGUCUCUCUGGGCAAGCCUUCCUGAAGGCUCUAGAAUUUUUGAAGCUCAUUUUUGAAAGGGUCUUUCCAUUUGGUGGCUUUUUUUUUUUUUUUUUUUCCACCUCCUCCCAUCUUUCUCAUCAGAGCUAGAGGGAUGGGAGAAAGAUUAGCUCUUGGGCUCUCUGUCCUUUCUGUGUAGUGAGGGACCAGGCUCUGGGCAUGUGUGAAGGACUGGGUGUGCUUUGGGAUGUUACUUCCUGUUGUCGCAAUGGCAAGCCUUUAGUGAGGUCACUUGAAGUUGACCAACAAGUAGGCAUUAUUUCAAAAUAGUUCUUGAUCAUGGUAUUAAAGAACCAGCCAGCAUGUGUGCCCAUCUUAAAAACAAACAAACGAACCAACAAACCUCACUUUUGGAAAGUUCCUUCUGAAUGUGUGCCCUUCCGAUUCACUUCUUAUCCUUUCUGUCAGAAACACCCCAGAAAAGGGGACCUUGCCUUUGAACCACUCUCCUACCCAACCUUCCUGCUUCUGUCUGACCUACCUUCCUUCUUCAGCAGCCAGGAUCCUUUCAAAGUGAGCACCGAAACAUAGGGAUUCUCUAGCCAUGAGUGCCCUCUGAAAUUCUAUCUUACUUAGAAUAAAAUCUCUAAACUUAUGCAGUGUCCCCUGCAUGGGUGGUGGCUUCUUUUUUUCUGUCACUUUCCUGCUUGUUCACACCACUCUCUGCCUGGCCUUCUUAUGUCACCGAUUCCCUGAGUACACUCUGGCCUCAGUCUUUCCAUGAAGUAACUCUCCUUUCUAGAACAUUCUUUCCUGCAUAACUAUCUGCUUCUGUCCUCACUGUAUUCUGAUUUGUAUUUCAAUGUCAAUUUCCACACAGGUAUUCUCUGCCCAUCCUCUAAAGUGUGCCCCCUGUCUUCUUUGCUGUUAUCUGUAUACCCUAAGUCUAAGUCUUAUUAUUACCUUAUUGUAGACAAAAUCUGUUAGCAUUUCUCACCAGGAUGCAAGCCUAGUGAUGAAGGAGCCAUUGUUCCAUUUUCAGAAUCCAGGCUGUUCUGCCUUGCGUCCUUUACUAAGUAAUGAAGCUCAAUAAAACAUUUUGACCAA
ensembl:lincRNA Pvt1 uncharacterized LOC110335330